rnacentral:rRNA from 1 species
UAGAGAUGAGCUCGCGUCUGAUUAGCUAGUAGGUGUGGUAAUGGCGCACCUAGGCGACGAUCAGUAACUGGUCUGAGAGGAUGACCAGUCACACUGGGACUGAGACACGGNCCAGACUCCUACGGGAGGCAGCAGUGGGGAAUUUUCCGCAAUGGGCGAAAGCCUGACGGAGCAAUACCGCGUGAGGGACGAGGGCUUUUGGGUCGUAAACCUCUUUUCCCUGAGAAGAAGAUCUGACGGUAUCAGGGGAAUCAGCAUCGGCUAACUUCGUGCCAGCAGCCGCGGUAAUACGAGGGAUGCAAGCGUUAUCCGGAAUUAUUGGGCGUAAAGCGUCCGCAGGUGGCUCUGUAAGUCUGUCGUUAAAGAAUGGGGCUCAACCCCAUACAGGCGAUGGAAACUACAAGGCUAGAGUUUGGUAGGGGUCACGGGAAUUCUUAGUGUAGCGGUGAAAUGCGUAGAUAUUAAGAAGAACACCAGCGGCGAAAGCGCGUGACUGGGCCAGUACUGACACUCAUGGACGAAAGCUAUGGGAGCG